GUAUUUGCAGACAAGGGAGAUACCAUGGCCAGGAUGGUGGUUUCCCCAGGGGCAGGCUUAGCCAUUGCACUCCAGAUGUUUGACCCUGCAGUUUCCCAGAUGCAGGAAAUUCGACUUCAUAAUUUGUGAAAGUCGGUGACUGGAUUCGCAGUCUCCAC
rnacentral:snRNA from 1 species